GUUGGUGGAUUGAGGAACAGGAGGGCAUUCGUCUCCUUUGUCCUGCUGAUAACCUGGACAAGUUGGAAAAAAAAAGAUAAUCGGUGCCUUUUCUUUCCCAUGCAAAUUAGAAGUGCACUUCGUUUUUCAAUAUGACAAAGCCUGGUCAGUGAAGCAGCUAAUGAGGACAGUCAAGGACUAACCAGUUGGUGUGAUAAGGAGCCUGGAAAUAUUCAUGGUGGUCAUGCAGAAGUUCUUUAGCUGAAUAAUUUCUUAGCUAGGCAUGAUUCUGUACAAUUUAUCUUUUAUUCUUUCACCCUUUCUUUCCAUGUCUUGCUUCAAUCCAAAUCUGGUGGUUUGUUGCUAGGUCAGGGAACAAAGUUGUAAGUGUUGCUAUCCUAAUGUAAUGGCAUGCAGGCAUACUGCAUGUUCUAUUAAAAAGGGAGAUUGUUCUUUCCCUCAUGUUCUGUUUCUUCGGAAGUAGUUCUCGAAAAAGAUAAAUUCACCAUGAGGUACUUCUCAUUUGAUUAUUCUGAUGUGACCAAAUUCAUGUUUUGAUACAGAAAGAUAUUAUCAAAUUGAUACAUAUGUGAAUUUUAAUGUUGAGUACCUCUCUAUUUGUGAAGGUUAGUCUCCUAGUCCUAUCUUCUGGUUUUAUGAGCAUAGUUGUUUUUUGAGGAAUGAAAAUUAUAUUAUGGUCGCAUAUUUCCAUAUUAACUUGAUACCAAUUAACAGAUGCUUUCUCUUACGUAGGUUCUUUUUCGUUUGUACUUGAUCUCUGUUACAUUACAUUUUAUUGAAUUACAUGUUUAAAUCGUUUUGAACAAAUAAUAGUUCAUUUGUUAAAGUAAAUGAGAGAAGAGUUAUGGGAAGAAAAUGCAUCAUUAAUCAUUGUUAGAAGGGACAUACAUAUUUAACAGCGUACUUUUGCGCAUGUGCCUCAUGGCAACCUAGGCUAGUCGAACUCAUAGGCGUACACACUACACUCAACGUUGCUUAUAGAUAAUGCAUGAUACUAAACAGCUAAUUUGGUAUAUCAAAACUCAAAUUUAAUUCUAUAUGCAAGUGACUUGAUGGAAUUCAGAAUCAUGGAGGAUUUAACAUUCAUAUGAGCAUUUAAUACUAAAUAUAUCUUCAUUAUGCAUUCACUAGUAGUGCGUAUGGUUAGCUCCACUCGAAUUUCUAAUCCACCUGGAUCAGGUUGCAGUAACCUUGCUUUGUUAUUUUUCUCUCUAGAAGAACACAAAAGUUUUGCGUCAAUGCAUUGAGGGAACAAGAGAGUUCCUGAUACAGGUGGAUUAACCCUCUGAAAGAGAAAGCAUAGCCCAACCAGUCUACCACACCCACAGAAGGCCCUUGGGUUUAUCUUGUUUAUUAGUUCUUCCAAGCCUGGCAUGUCGCCCCUGAAUAUGCAAGUGUGUCAGUGCUUCAUGUUCACUGGGAUACUGACUGGACAGUUAUUUGCCACCAUGCAGUGGAAUCAUCACCUGCAGCUCUGGGAUGUAUCUCGUAGGUUGUACCCAGGAUAGGAGCUCGGACCAGUUUUGGCGAGCUAAUGAUCAGACCACAAACAGCCAACAGAAUUGAUGCAGUCAUCCAUGUGCUCUUCAAUGUUUCUGUGCCCCUGCUCAAGGCUGAAACGAUUUCCACGAGGUCUGAUGUGCCUUCAUGCUUUUUCAUCUGGCAUGUUUUUGAAGAGAAAGGGAAAAUUUGUGUGAUCAUUCACUGGGUCUUUUUUUUAAGGAUACGUCAUGGAUAGACGUAUCUGUUUCAUAGGAGAAAGGCCAGAAGGCUGACAUACAACACGCUCGAGGCACAGGCGCCCACAAAGCGCAGCUCCUUGCUACCUCCGGAAAAGGUAGCACACACACGUUACCGGACUACUCACGGCAUCUCCACUUAUCUACUGGUGCAAGAGAGCCUCUAAAAAUCCCGGCCACUCUCCACAACUCAGCCUCGUCAGAGAUCUUUGAGAGCACCGUGGACUUGGAAGGUGCGACGCUGUCAAACACUAUGUCGUUUCGGUGACGCCGGAGGCACCAACAGAUGAGAGUCACACCUGUAGAGGUCGCGGUCUGCUCCAAGUCCUCCACGCUUGCCCUGCAGCCAUCCAACGAAACCCGUAUCUACCUGCGGCAUCCAGUGCAGCUUCCCCCACCAGCGCAGACAAGUCGCCCAAACCUCUCGAGCCAACACACAUCCCAUCAGCAGGUGGUCCAGGGUUUCCUCGCUCUGGUUGCAGAAAGGGCACGCAGCCGGAUGGGGGAGACCCCGCCUGCUAAGUCUGUAUGUUGUCCAACACCUGUUCCUGACCGCCAGCCAAAGAAAGACCCUGCAGUUUGGUGGAGCCCUCGAGCGCCAUAUCUGAAGCGCCCCUGGCAUAUCCACCCUCGCCCCGAACAUCGCGCGAUAGCCCGAGCGCGUGGAGUAGGAGAAAUCUUUCUCCCAGCCCCAUCUGAAGCUAUCCUCUACACCCUCCAGGCUUUGUUAGCUAAAGGACAAGUAACGUGGUAUCGCAUACUUUAAUUUCUUAAUGUACUGGAGAAAGAGUUUAAAGUGAGCAAGUGAAAGUAUGGCCUAUCAUCUGUCAAAUAGGACAAAUAUGGUUCCAAUGGGAAAAAAAUCUUAGUAGCAUCUUCACCGCCCAACAGUUCAAAGAUGAAUCUUCAGUCACAUAGGUGAUGCCUCUUCUCCUACCAAGAGUGUCUUGAUGAUUUUGUCAGUCCAUCCAUCUACCAGCAUGAACAUAUGUCCACCUUCUAGGACUUCAUGAUACUGGACCCACUGGAGCUUCUCUGAAAUGUACCGCUGCAGCUCAACCAGCACCAGCCUAUCUUCGUAUCCUUGCCAGAUGUGCACAGCACCCUCAUUUGUAGGAAAUGGAUUUGUAAUAUUCAUUGGAUCAAACUCCCAGUUUCCAAAAGCAACAAGUAAAUCACGAUGGAUUGAUUCAUAAACGCCUUGCUGCCUUGAUUUAUUCUGAAAAUGGAAGGCACAAAUCAAUGUUAUGACAACAAAGUAGAAGAAGGGGUGGUUUAUGAUUUAUAGCGCUGCUUGAGAUUAAAUUUGACUGUAUUCUUUUGUUAGUGUGUAUUUCCAUGAAAAAUUUCAUGUAUAUUAUAUUAUUAGUUGUCUCUAUGGUGGGCGUAGCUCUUCAAGGAUUUUAGUUGUUGCACUUUUAUAUUGUUGUUUCGAGUGUUCUGUGAAGCGGAAUUUCAUGUGAUUGAAGUAUAUUCUUACAUUCAUUACAGAGGCAUAAUCGUGAUUUAAUUUACCUCAAUAAAACUUGGCAUUGCCAUCAUUUUCUGAAUCACCUCCAUAUCAUGCUUGCUAAAUAUUUCAGGAUGAUGCAUGGCUGCUGCAGAAGAAGGGAGCCACUUCUGUGUCAUCCACAAGUAUAGCAGGUAAGGCGCAUUGUGUGCAAUCCAGAGGGUCCUCUGCUCUGGCACAACCAUCUUCUUGAAGGCUUGCCUGGACAACUCUGCUGGAAAAGAAGGCCACCAGUAGUUGAUAACUGGCACAACUAGCGCAGCUCCUGCAAGCCUGCACCGACAACAAAUCAUAUGUUUACAACUCUGAAGAGUUACGUAUCUCGUGAACCUACUACAUAUGGCUGGGAUUUCUGUUUUUACCUGUGAGGUAUAUACUGGAGGCAUCCCCAAAUUGAGUAUCCUCCCAUCGAGACCCCCAGGACAUGGAACUUCUGUCCAACCUCCAGCUGGUCGGCGAGCUCCUCAAUAUCCAGUGCCUCGCUCUUGACAUUCCGACCAGGGUUCGGGUCACUUUCCCCGUACCCUGCUCUAUCAAAUGCAAGGAGGUGGGGGUAAGUCCUUUGUGCUAUCAAACGCAUGCACGGUGAUGAUCUUGUACCUGGCCUUGUCUCUCUGCACUCCAUCUUCCCGGUACGCGAGGUACCUUCCAUCCCUGAGCUUGAUCCUGGGAGACGUCACUGGAGGCCGCCGGCGGAACCGCACAGUUUUGGAGGCGGUGCCCGGAGAAUGGCCUGGAAGGCCAAAGCAAGCAGCAGCACCGGAAGAACGAGGAGCCAUCUUGGAACCAUUCCUCCCAGG